CAAAGAAGAGCCUGUCAACCUAGCCAAGGAGACUGCCUGAAACCCGGAAUGAGGGUCCUGCCUCUUAGUCCAGGGCAAAUCCCAAAUUGCUAGGAACAGGCAAGUCGUCCUUGGCUAACUAACAAGACUCUUAUUU
rfam:Populus trichocarpa scaffold_1_contig_336, whole genome shotgun sequence.